rnacentral:rRNA from 1 species
ACGGGUGAGUAACGCGUGGGAAUCUACCGUACCCUACGGAAUAGCUCUGGGAAACUGGAAGUAAUACCGUAUACGCCCUAACGGGGAAAGAUUUAUCGGGGUAUGAUGAGCCCGCGUUGGAUUAGCUAGUUGGUGGGGUAAAGGCCUACCAAGGCGACGAUCCAUAGCUGGUCUGAGAGGAUGAUCAGCCACAUUGGGACUGAGACACGGCCCAAACUCCUACGGGAGGCAGCAGUGGGGAAUAUUGGACAAUGGGGGCAACCCUGAUCCAGCCAUGCCGCGUGAGUGAUGAAGGUCUUAGGAUUGUAAAGCUCUUUCAACGGUGAGGAUAAUGACGGUAACCGUAGAAGAAGCCCCGGCUAACUUCGUGCCAGCAGCCGCGGUAAUACGAAGGGGGCUAGCGUUGUUCGGAAUUACUGGGCGUAAAGCGCACGUAGGCGGGUAUUUAAGUCAGGGGUGAAAUCCCGCAGCUCAACUGCGGAACUGCCUUUGAUACUGGGUAUCUUGAGUAUGGAAGAGGUAAGUGGAAUUGCGAGUGUAGAGGUGAAAUUCGUAGA